rnacentral:rRNA from 1 species
CCUACGGGUGGCAGCAGUAGGGAAUCUUCCACAAUGGACGAAAGUCUGAUGGAGCAACGCCGCGUGAGUGAAGAAGGGUUUCGGCUCGUAAAGCUCUGUCGGUAGUGAAGAAAGUUACAGUUAGUGACCGGCCUUUCUUUGCCGGUAAUUACUUAGAAAGUCCCGGCUAACUACGUGCCAGCAGACGCGGUAAUACGUAGGUGGCAAGCGUUGUCCGGAUUUAUUGGGCGUAAAGCGAGUGCAGGCGGUUCAAUAAGUCUGAUGUGAACGCCGUGGGCUCAACCUGAGAAUUGCAUCAGAAACUGUUGAACUGGAGUGCAGAAGAGGAGAGUGGAACUCCAUGUGUAGCGGUGGAAUGCGUAGAUAUAGGGAAGAACACCAGUGGCGAAGGCGGCUCUCUGGUCUGCAACUGACGCUGAGGCUCGAAAGCAUGGGUAGCGAACAGGAUUAGAUACCCUGGUAGUC